rnacentral:rRNA from 1 species
GACGUGGGGCGCGAGCGUUGUCCGGAUUUAUUGGGCGUAAAGAGCUCGUAGGCGGCUCGUCGCGUCAGCUGUGAAAACCCGCGGCUUAACCGUGGGCUUGCAGCUGAUACGGGCGGGCUAGAGUUCGGUAGGGGAGACUGGAAUUCCUGGUGUAGCGGUGAAAUGCGCAGAUAUCAGGAGGAACACCGGUGGCGAAGGCGGGUCUCUGGGCCGAUACUGACGCUGAGGAGCGAAAGCGUGGGGAGCGAGCAGG